UGGGGAAUCUUCCGCAAUGGACGAAAGUCUGACGGAGCAACGCCGCGUGAGUGAAGACGGCCUUCGGGUUGUAAAGCUCUGUGAUCCGGGACGAAAGAGCCUGAGGUGAUUAGCCUAAGGAAGUGACGGUACCGGAAAAGCAAGCCACGGCUAACUACGUGCCAGCAGCCGCGGUAAUACGUAGGUGGCAAGCGUUGUCCGGAAUUAUUGGGCGUAAAGCGCGCGCAGGCGGCUUCCUAAGUCCAUCUUAAAAGUGCGGGGCUUAACCCCGUGAUGGGAUGGAAACUGGGAAGCUGGAGUAUCGGAGAGGAAAGUGGAAUUCCUAGUGUAGCGGUGAAAUGCGUAGAGAUUAGGAAGAACACCGGUGGCGAAGGCGACUUUCUGGACGAAAACUGACGCUGAGGCGCGAAAGCGUGGGGAGCAAACAGG
rnacentral:rRNA from 1 species